GCACCCGGAGAUACAAUCCGCAGCCCCCCAGGUCUGUGCAGUUACCAGCCAGUCCCCUGAGAACUUUCCCCUCCAGCACCCGGGAAAAUGGGAUUUUUGCUCCUUGUAAUUUUCACUGUAGCAGCUUUGGAAGGUGUCCGGUCCCAAGCGCUGGUGGAGUCUGGAGGGGAUGUGAAAAAGCCUGGAGACUCUCUCCGCCUCUCCUGCAAAGCCUCCGGGUUCACCUUCAGCAGCUACCAUAUGCACUGGGUCCGACAGGCUCCCGGGAAGGGUCUAGGAUGGGUCGCUUAUAUAAGGUCCGAUGGGGGUGAUAUGCAGUACCUUGAUUCUGUCAAAGGCCGAUUCAUCAUCUCCAGGGAUAAUUCCAAGAGUGAGCUGUAUCUGCAAAUGACCAGCCUGAGACCCGAGGACACCGGCCGCUAUUACUGUGCGAGAGACACAGUGAAAGGAAACCGAUUUGUGAUCAUACAAAAACCCAGGCUGCGGAAUCGCCCUUCUCCUGGCAGCCGCGCGGGGGCAGAAGUGACACACACACCGCUCCGGGCUCAGACAGGAGACCCAGCAACCAGGCAGCACCCGGAGACACAGUCCACAACCCCCUGGCUCUGUGCAGUGACCAACCAAUCCUCCUGAGAAACUUCCCCUUCAGCAUCAGGGAAAUCAGACUUUGGCUCCAUUUGGUUUUCA